UCCUUUGUUUGAGAGCCCCAUUAUGCA
rnacentral:piRNA from 1 species